rnacentral:piRNA from 1 species
UUGGGAUCCUGUCUUAUAUGUUGGUUACUGU